rnacentral:tRNA from 1 species
GGAAGAGUGGCAGAGUGGUCGAUUGCACCGGUCUUGAAAACCGGCGUCUCGAAAGGGACCGUGAGUUCGAAUCUCACCUCUUCCGCCA